ensembl:lncRNA
GGGAGAUAGGUGCUCUUCUUCUUUGCGUCUUCUCUUGCCAUAUUUACCACUGAUAAUAUAAUCGUUACAUAACUGUUAUCUUAGAAAGUGUCCAUUGAGUAUUUACUAGUUGACCACUAUUUCAUUCUGAGUGGUCUGAGUCUGGUGCUGUUCAUUUAAAUGCUCACAGACUGAUAAGAACUUGAGACGAUUCACAGUCCAACCCACAAAAUCCAAUGUGACAAUAGAAGUGAUGAUGGUAGAUCACUCCAUGUGAAAGAACCAGGUGAUUCACACAUGGACCGGCAGUUAUCACUCUAGAUUGAGUGUAGGUACACAGCCAAAUGAUACUUUCACUGAUG